UACGUAGGGCGCAAGCGUUAUCCGGAAUUAUUGGGCGUAAAGAGCUCGUGGGCGGUCUGUCGCGUCGAUCGUGAAAACUUGGGGCUUAACCCUGAGCUUGCGGUCGAUACGGGCAUGACUGGAGUUCGGCAGGGGAGACUGGAAUUCCUGGUGUAGCGGUGAAAUGCGCAGAUAUCAGGAGGAACACCGGUGGCGAAGGCGGGUCUCUGGGCCGAUACUGACGCUGAGGAGCGAAAGCGUGGGGAGCGAACAGG
rnacentral:rRNA from 1 species